GCAUGAUCUGGUUGUGCCUUGUCACCCCAUUGAUCCCCAGAGUUGAUCUGACUGACCUGGCUGGCUAGGUAGACAUCCCCUUCCUCACGGUCCAUGUGUGUCCCUCCCGAAGCUUGGUGGAAGAGACUACCACGCCAAUAGGGAGGACCAUUUCCUCAGUCAAGAGUAGAGGAACAGCGGUGCUCCUUGCUAGAACCUUGAAGCACACUGUUGUGUUUCAGAUUAUUGUGCUGAGAUAACUUCUGUACCUCAUUGCUUGAAGGAUUUCUCAUCUUGAAAUAAUGUUGAAUUUUAUCA
ensembl:misc_RNA 7SK 7SK RNA